UUACAGCCAUAUCACAUUGAAACGCUGGUUCUUGAUUGAUCACAGAAGUUAAGCAAUGUUGAGCCUGGUCAGUACAUAGAUAGGUGACUUCUUGGGAAUGCCAGAUGCUGUAA